UCCAUACUGUCCAUGGCAAAAUCCCAGAAGCCUCUCUGCUCAAAGGGCAGGGCCGAGGACAGGGAGAGCAGCCGGGUCACACAGAGCAACACCAAGACGGAGCAGUGUGGCAACAUGGUGACGUGUAACACCUUUUGGCUAGAAGUAAGAUCUUAAUUCCAAUAUUCAAAAAAAAAAAAGACUGAAGGGUGCUUUCUCCCUCUGUGCGUCAGAUUAUCCCGGAGAUUUAGAAAAUGUCCCAAUUUUCAUCACAUUUAGGGAUUAUUACAGUAUUUUCCUCUGGUCUUCUGACAUCAAGCCACAGCUCCUCCACCACUGUGGGCCACAGCAAACUAACACUGUGUGCUCUCUUCAGUCCAAACCAAA